UGGGAUAUAGCUCAGUGGUAGGGCACAUGCUUUGCAAGCAUGAAAUAUGGGGUUUAAUCCCAGCACUUCAA
rnacentral:tRNA from 1 species